rnacentral:rRNA from 1 species
ACGCAAGUCAUUGGGUGAUAAAAAACCCAAAGGCGUAAUGAAAGUAAAGAGUUUGAGAGAUAAAGGAAUCGAAAGAAAUUUUGAUUCUUGAUUCUUUCGCUCAAGGGAAGAUGGAUAUCUUUAUUUUUUCUUUUAUUAACAAUCGGUUGUGUUUUAAUAUUUUUAAUAUUAUACACAAUUGUUGUUUUUUUUUUGGAAAAUAUAGAUUCUCGCAUUCCCAGGGCGCUUGUUUCUCGCUUUGCGAGUCUAUGCGCACCUAGAGCGUACACGAUGAUACCCGAAAGAUGGUGAACUAUGCCUGGCCAGGACGAAGCCAGGGGAAACCCUGGUGGAGGUCCGCAGCGAUUCUGACGUGCAAAUCGAUCGUCAGAGCUGGGUAUAGGGGCGAAAGACCAAUCGAACCAUCUAGUAGCUGGUUCCCUCUGAAGUUUCCCUCAGGAUAGCUUGCGCUCGGUUGUGAAGAGUCUCAUCCGGUAGAGCGAAUGAUUAGAGGCAUUGGGGUCGAAACGACCUCAACCUAUUCUCAAACUCCAAAUAGAUGAGAGCCCCGGCUUUCUUAAAAUUGAAGCCGCGGGAUUCGGAUCAGAGUGCC